rnacentral:lncRNA from 1 species
CAGAACUAGCGAAAUAAACAAUUUAUGUAUAUUUCAGGGUGAAUUUCCAUACCCUAGUACUUCUUCAUGGACUAAUUCUGAGUUGGGCAUACCCGCAGUUAAAGAAUGAAGGGUAGCAUCUUCGUACUUCAAGAGUUUCGUUAAGUUAAAUAUUUUGAUGGAAUGUUAAAUGGAAAAUGUAUACAACUUCAAAAAUAACAAAUUAUUUUAUUUUCUUAGUCGCCGUGUACGAAAUGGGUUAUAAUGUCAUGUUACUACGUAAUCAUGCCCGGCAUGACAUCUUUUAGUUAUUUUAGUCAACAAAGUAUUUAUCCUUUAAAUUAAACGUUUUUUUUUAACAGUUGAGUUGUGCUAUUUUUCGGAAGUUUAUUGCAUUUUUUAUAUUACUCUAGUUAACGAAGUUGUUUUUCCUUUGAAUGAAAACUCUGUUUUCUUAACAAUGGAGGUGUACUGUUUGUCGGAAUAAAUAUAUAUCUAAAUGCGUUUUCCUCCAGCGCUUUGAA